UACGGAAGGGGCUAGCGUUGUUCGGAAUACUGGGCGUAAAGCGCGCGCAGGCGGUCCUUUAAGUCGGGGGUGAAAGCCCAGAGCUCAACUCUGGAACUGCCUUCGAAACUAGAGGACUUGGGUACGGGAGAGGUGAGUGGAAUUCCGAGUGUAGAGGUGAAAUUCGUAGAUAUUCGGAAGAACACCAGUGGCGAAGGCGGCUCACUGGCCCGUUACCGACGCUCAGGCGCGACAGCGUGGGGAGCAAACAGG
rnacentral:rRNA from 1 species